rnacentral:lncRNA from 1 species
GUAACCAGAAAUAUCAUAACACACAAUAUACAAUAAUUAUAUUAACUACAGAGUAUUUAAAAUCAUACAACUUAUUUCAUCCCAACCAUUAACAUCACAACCAAACCAUUCAUGAUCCAAUGUCGUUUCCUUUUACUGUGUCGUCAUGACCUGUUAUAACUAACAGGUACCUGUUCCUCAACAGGGCAAUUCGAGUCGUCUUCCAUCGCAACUUCCGACCUAUCUCCCCGACCUUUCGAAAAGCCUUUUGGGCGAGACAUCCACCUUCCCGCGCAGAGGGAAGUGACACUCGAAUCACUAUCUCUUAAACGAGAGUCCAACACAUCACAUUCUCAUCGUAGCGCAGUACGAAAAGCUCAAACAUGACCAACGACAGUACAAAGAAAUAACAUAGUUUCAAGUUCACAUCACACAUCCAUACACAUUCUCAAUAACAUGCAUAGCUCACCAAUCA